UCCCUGGUGGCUUAGAUGGUAAAGAAGCUGCCUGCAAUGCAGGAGACCCAGGUUCAAUGUCUUGGUUGGGAAG
rfam:Ovis aries breed Texel chromosome 1, whole genome shotgun sequence.